UACGUAGGAGGCAAGCGUUGUCCGGAAUCACUGGGCGUAAAGCGCGUGUAGGUGGAAGAGGAAGUCUGCUGUGAAAGCGCCUGGCUUAACCGGGCGAGGUCGGUGGAAACUCCUCAUCUAGAGGUCGGUAGAGGGGGGUGGAAUUCCGGGUGUAGUGGUGAAAUGCGUAGAGAUCCGGAGGAACACCUGUGGCGAAGGCGGCCCCCUGGGCCGCACCUGACGCUGAGACGCGAAAGCGCGGGGAGCGAACGGGAUUGAGAAACCC
rnacentral:rRNA from 1 species